rnacentral:rRNA from 1 species
GUGGGGAAUAUUGGGCAAUGGGGGAAACCCUGACCCAGCGACGCCGCGUGAGGGAAGAAGGCCUUAGGGUCGUAAACCUCUGUUGUGUGGGAAGAAGAGCGUGACGGUACCACACGAGGAAGUCCCGGCUAACUACGUGCCAGCAGCCGCGGUAAUACGUAGGGGACGAGCGUUGUACGGAUUUACUGGGCGUAAAGGGCGCGUAGGCGGUCAUUUAAGUCAGCUGUGAAAUGGUUUGGCUUAACCGGAUCAUGCGGUUGAAACUGGAUGACUGGAGUGCUGGAGAGGCAAGUGGAAUUCCCAGUGUAGCGGUGAAAUGCGUAGAUAUUGGGAAGAACACCGGUGGCGAAGGCGACUUGCUGGCCAGCAACUGACGCUGAGGCGCGAAAGCCAGGGGAGCAAACGGGAUUAGAAACCCCAGUAGUCC